UGUUUCGGCUAGGGGGCCAUCCCGGCUUACCAACCCGAUGCAAACUGCGAAUACCGGAGAAUGUUAUCACGGGAGACACACGGCGGGUGCUAACGUCCGUCGUGAAGAGGGAAACAACCCAGACCGCCAGCUAAGGUCCCAAAGUCAUGGUUAAGUGGGAAACGAUGUGGGAAGGCCCAGACAGCCAGGAUGUUGGCUUAGAAGCAGCCAUCAUUUAAAGAAAGCGUAAUAGCUCACUGGUCGAGUCGGCCUGCGCGGAAGAUGUAACGGGGCUAAACCAUGCACCGAAGCUGCGGCAGCGACACUGUGUGUUGUUGGGUAGGGGAGCGUUCUGUAAGCCUGCGAAGGUGGCCUGUGAGGGUUGCUGGAGGUAUCAGAAGUGCGAAUGCUGACAUAAGUAACGAUAAAGCGGGUGAAAAGCCCGCUCGCCGGAAGACCAAGGGUUCCUGUCCAACGUUAAUCGGGGCAGGGUGAGUCGACCCCUAAGGCGAGGCCGAAAGGCGUAGUCGAUGGGAAACGGGUUAAUAUUCCCGUACUUGGUGUUACUGCGAAGGGGGGACGGAGAAGGCUAUGUUGGCCGGGCGACGGUUGUCCCGGUUUAAGCGUGUAGGUGUGUGUUCCAGGUAAAUCCGGUUCACUUUAACACUGAGGCGUGACGACGAGGCACUACGGUGCUGAAGCAACAAAUGCCCUGCUUCCAGGAAAAGCCUCUAAGCAUCAGGUAACAUCAAAUCGUACCCCAAACCGACACAGGUGGUCAGGUAGAGAAUACCAAGGCGCUUGAGAGAACUCGGGUGAAGGAACUAGGCAAAAUGGUGCCGUAACU
rnacentral:rRNA from 1 species